UCCUGAAUUCAACUACUCAAACAAGAUUCUCUAAGUUUCAGCCGUGCUCUCUCAGAGAGAGCUUCCUCUUUCAACUCCUCAAAACGAGAUUCUCUCUUGGUUUCAGCCAUGCUCUCAGAUGGAUAUAGUAGUUGCAGUUUCUGAGUUACGCUCUCAUGAAGCAAAUGGUAUUAGUCUCAUCACCUCUAUGCAUCUGUUGAUGCCUCUCCCAUAGACCUCUUGGCUCUUCUGUUACAAAUAAAUACCAAUUCUUUCGUAGUACUGAAUUGGUUUAUUCGACCUAGAGAGGCUCAAAAAGCAGCAGAUGAAGCUGAAGCAAGAGUCACCUCGCUUUUAAUAGUGGCUCAUCAAAUUGCUUGGAUCACAAGCCUGAGUGAGUAAUUAACAACGAAUAUGUUUUUGACUAACGAGAAUUUCAUCAGAACUGUGACGAAUAUUCGGGGUGAAUGGUUAGUUAGCUGCCCUCUCUCGUUUGUGGUUUCAAAUUACAGAACAAAUCACCAAAUCGCCUCAGGAUGCUCAAGACAUCACAGCCUUUGCAGAGUCGCUGUGAAUUCCGAUGAUGAUGAUCCAUCAAAGUAGAGAGACAUAUUGAAAUCAAAGCAACGGGAGACGAUGAUGAUCCGUAACCAACCGUAAGGUCUGAUUCAAUACCGAUUUCACCGGAAUAUUGAAUCUUAUCUACCUACCGGAGACUUACGAGACGAAAAAUUCAAAAGUAAAGAGAAGAAUCGAGCGAGAGGUCUUCGUAAUAAUAAUCCUCUGUUUUCUUGAAUUUGAAGUGGUUUGGUUGGAUGGAUGUACUAUUAAAGGACAACCUCGUAGAGUUGCAGCCUAAGGAAGGACAUGGCUCACUUGGAACGCAUUGGCAAUUACUUGACAGUCAAAGAAAACUAAGUGAUUCAUUUGCAUCCAUCAGGAUCACAAUGAAUAUUUUUUGACUAGCGAGAAUUUCAUCAGAACUGUGACAGAUAUUCGCCGUGAAUGAUUCUCCAGUUUAGUCUGAAUGGGUUAGCCUAACGGGACUCCGAACUUACGGCUAAGCUUGAAGAUUGCACUGAACAACUCGAAGCAAAAGAUCUUCUGUUGCAAAAAGGUUGAGGGAAGAAUUGCAGAAAAUAGUGAGAUAGUUUCAGAACUGCUCACUUUGAGAGAACAUGUGAAGUCAGCUGAACAAAAGCUGAUUAAAGAGCUUACUGCUGCAAAUCUUGAACUUACUGAGGAACUAAAAUUUUCUCAAAGAAGGUGAACUCUCUCGUCAAGGAGUUAGAAGUUCAAUUACAAAAUUCUAAAGGUAUAUCAUCAGAAGCAAAUCAAGAACAGCACAACAUGUUGUGGUCAGCAAUAUGGGACAUGGAAACCGUAAUAGAAGAUCUCAAGUCUAAAGCCGAGAGAGUAGAAGUAAUGUUGCUAACGAUGAAUAAGAGAGAUAUGCACAAGGUUUCCUUCAGGGACUCAAAAGCAAAGCAAUGUUGAAGUGUCUUCAGCAAUAUGGAUUCAUGCUAGCUUCUAAUGAAACGUGUCCUCGAGAAGCUUUAUAAGAAGAGAGAAAAGGAGAAGGAAGAGAGCAAAACCGGAAGUGAAAAACAAUCAUAGAUCCUCAUAUGUCAACGUUCAGUUCUCCAAAUCUAAGCAGGACAAAAGAAGCAAUCCAUAAGAGGAUUAUAUAGUGAAUCAAUCCAAAUUAAAUUUGUGUCCGUUAAAGAUGUUGUGUAACAAAGCGGUUGUUCAAGACAUCACAGCCUUGUCAGGUACCUUUUUACCUUCUUUUUGUAAAUUAAUGAUUUUGUUUUUUUACCGUAAUGAUUUUG